rnacentral:rRNA from 1 species
AUGGAGCAAACCACUCACCUCAUCAUCUUCAUUCUUCGCCGCCGCCGCCGACGAGCAAACCACUCUGCUCCGCUCCGCUCCAUCGUCGCGUUCCGCUCGCUCCUUCUUCUCCAGGUCAGGUCAGGUCAGGAAGAAGAAGAGGACCGUCGGGUGGGAGACAGCCACCGCAGCAUGGACAUUCAACUCCAUGAGAUCGAAGCUAUCACAAACAAGUUUGCAGACGACCAGAAAGUCGGCAGCGGUGGGUACGGAGAUGUUUACAGGGCCACUCAUAAAGGAGAGGAAAUUGCCGUGAAGAAGCUCCAUCAACUGCAGGGGCUCGAUGAUAAGCAGUUCCACGCCGAAUACCGUAACCUUCGUGAGGUACGCCACCAAAACGUUGUGCGGCUAAUUGGCUACUGCUACGAGACCCGGAAGAAAUACAUGGAGCACAAUGGGGAUCUUGUCUUCGCGAACAUUAUGGAGCGAGUGCUCUGCUUCGAAUAUAUGAACGGCGGAAGCCUCGAUAAACACAUUCAAGAUGAAUCUUGCGGGCUCGAGUGGCCCACAUGUUACAAGAUUAUCAAAGGGACUUGUGAGGGACUAGAUCACCUUCACACCUCACAGGGAAAACCUAUUUUCCAUCUGGACUUAAAGCCUGGUAACAUUUUGCUGGAUGAAAGUAUGACGCCUAAAAUUGGAGAUCUUGGUUUGUCAAGACUUGUUGCUUCGACAAAAACACAUCAAACAGAGAUGCGCGAUGGAACCCGCGGGUUCAUGCCACCGGAGUACAUAGAUGGUGGCUUUAUAUCAAAGAAGUUUGACGUGUUCAGUUUGGGCGUCAUAAUUAUAAAAAUGUUGGCCGGGGAUAAGAGCUACUUCCGUUGCACUGAAAUGCCUCCCGAUCAGUUUAUUCAGCUUGUAAGGGAAAUCUGGAAGAAAAAGUUUCAGGAAAAGCCUGAAUAUUCCUCACACUCACAGGAAAUAGACAUCCUAGGAGUGACUUCAUGUGUUGAGAUUGCACUAAGGUGUGUGGACAGGGACAGAAACAAAAGGCCAUGUAUCAAUGAUAUUGUCCAUGAACUUGAUCAACUAGAAGCUAAGCUUAAAGCAAUGUCACUUGCUUCUAAUGUGUCAAAUGAUGCCACGAUCCAGAGAAGCUGCGACACCAACAUUAUCUCGGUGGAUCCAUCCCUGGAGCUGCGGUUCGUCUUCGAGCCAAGGAAGGAGACGUCGUGCUGCCUACAGAUAAUCAACAAGACGGACGGCAUCGUCGCGUUCAACAUAAAAAUUAACCAGAACAAGUAUAGUGCGCGGCCAAGCCAAGGAACUAUGCCGCCGUGUUCCUGCCGUUAUGUUAUCGUGACGUUGCAGGCGCAGGACGCGGCGCCGCCCAACAUGCGGUGUCAUGACAUGCUCUUCGUGCAGAACACCGGCAUCACCCAAGACUUGGCAUCAAGAGAUGGUGAGAUUGAUUAUCAAGAAUUGUUUGAGAAGGCCAUGGCGGAUAAGGUGGUUGAUGUGGUGAAGCUUCCGAUCGUUUGUGUUACACCGGACCAAUAG